AUACUCAGACAGCAGAGCCAACCCAUGCAGGAACUAACUUCUGAGCAAACCAGCAGCAUCUUGGUGAGCAUUAUGGUGAGUUCUCUUCUCCAUCAAAAGGUAACACAAUUCAUGGACAUUCUGAUUUCUCCUUUUCUUGUCUUUGUUUCAACCUUAUACAAUCAACUUGUAGCAGCUUGAAUGGCCUAAUGACUUUGUUUAUUGUGUGUUUUUUAAUAGUUGUAUCAGGCAUUAGACCCUUGUGACAUAAUAAAGGCUCAAAUGGUUGAAGUUUGAGACUAAGAACAUUUACAGCACCCUAGAAGGGCUCUGACCUCAUCUGUAUACCCUAGCUGUGAGAACAGUUCUUGGGAGCUUUCUAGAAUGUAACUCUGUGUAUCCCUAUGUACAGCAAAAAUGUGUUUAUUUGUUCUCUCAAUUUGGUCAGUGUCACAACUAGAGUGGUCUGGCUAGGUCUCCUGGUUUGUUGUGUUCUUAUUUUUUCUGAACUUAAAUAACUUCUUUUGGGAAGGUUCAUAAAUUUGAAAAUAAUAAAUAAAAUUUAAAUUAAAAAAUUCCCAUUAGUGCUUACUUUCAUUAAUCAAUGUUUUUCAUUUUGAAUUAUAAUUUGCAGUUUUCUGGUUCUUUUGGUAAAAUCAGUGGGUAUCCUUAAGACAUGGAAAUGGCUGUGUGCUUAUUCUCUAAGCCCCAGUCCAUUUAGGGAAAGGUUUUUUAGUAACUAGAAAAGGGUGUACUGUCUGUUAGAACAGCUCUGGGUGAAAUGUCUUAGGAAAAGAAAAGCAAAAUCUUUCUACAGAUUCAAUUCCACAAGGCUUUUUUGUGCUCCAUACUCUCCCAUAUGACCAUUCUUCCCUAAGACUGGAUGACAUGUUGAGUAUUUCAGCCUGUUACAUGGUUUAGAAGUGUUGCUGGAUUGUGUGAUUUGUGUUCUCAUCAUCAUGUGUUUAUGGUUUAUCAGAUUUCAGUAGCAGUUAUAAUAGCAAUCUAUGUUUUAUAAUACUAUUAGGUUAAAAACUGAAUGUAGAGGGGCAGUGAGACAGCUCAUAAAGUUUGAUCUUGGACCAUGGUAGAACCUUAAGAACCUGAAGCAGGAGCGUCAUAUGUUAAAGCCAACUUAGGCUUCAAGGUGACACCCUAUCUCAAACCAAGAAGGUAUUGGUCAGGAAAGCUGUUACCCAAGUGGCCAAAGCCAAGAAGUUAUAGACAAAUGUUUCUGAUUCCUGGUCUCCUGACAGUAACUGGAUGAGUUUUAUUCUUGGUUUCCACUUGUAUUCCUUUUAUGGCAUUUGUUCAGACAAAGGCCUAUUAUACCCUAAGGCUAUAGUGUUAGAAGCAAGUAGAUACUGUUUCCAGACUGUUGGACAAAGAUACCCUAAAGGGACAUUUGUACUUCAUUUGACUAAAAACUAUUUAAACAGUGUUCCCCAGUGAAUUUCCAUUUAUCUAGGAACAUCAUGCUGAUGGAUGUAAAAUCCCAGAGCCUUCCAGAGAAAAAUUGUGUUCCAGAGAGAGAUUUCUGGUUUCUCUGACCACCAUGCAGGACAGAAUGGAGUCAAACAGCAAUGGGACAAUGAUAGGUAGGAUCACAUCUCGACUGCUUAGCUCUAUCAACUCAAGUCUUUUGUUUUCUGUAAUCUCAUAUCAUGAAUUCCACUUAUGGACCUCAGAGCACACUGUAUAAUUAGUACCUCUCCCCUAUGUGGCCUCAUUGACUAAACCUCCUUUGUCUUGUGUUACUAUGAAUUUACCUCUUUAAAUUUGCUUUUAAAGAACAACUGGCCAAGCCAGGCUUGUUAGGGCUGCCAGAACACAGGCUCUAACCCUAACAGUUUAUUGAUAUGAUUAUUGUUUUCUUUUGUGUGUUUGUGAUAGAGUUCCACUUUAUAGUCCAGGCUGUCUGGUACUUCAUAUGUAGACCAGGCUACUUUUGAAUACACAGAGAUAUGCUUGUCUCUAUCCUUUGAUUCUAGCAUGGCAAAUGUGUAUCACUGCAUGUGGUAGGAUUUUCUCUGUCCAAUUACGUUAAAAUAUUAGUGCAGCAGGAGACCUGUGAUUGGACAGAGAAAGAGAGAGACUAAAAGUAGGGCGAGGAGAAGCCAAGAUGGAAACAGACAGACAGGAAGAAGAUCCUGAUCCCGUGUGAUUUUAAUAGCCAUAGGUAACUAUGAAUAUCAUAAGGGAUAGAAUAGUUGGGGUAACUUGGUUGAUGUAGGUGGGCAGCUUGUAUCAUUAUCAAUUGGCUCUGAAAUCAUUGUGUGGGUAUCUUGUGAAUUGAAAAUUUAUAUAUAAAUAAAUAUGACUUGUUAAUUAUAAGAUUCUAGAUUGUUGUUUCUAGAAGGGUUGCUGGAUGUGGUGGCUGACCUUGCGGUGGGCAGUCAUUGCAUGGGGCUGGCAUCACAGUGAAGAGAACUUGGGAGCUCUGGCCCCAACCAGAGAGCUGGUAGGCAGAGAGUAGCUGGAUGGAGCACGGGAACUUGGCUGUUGUUUUUUUAAUAUUUCCCACAACAACCAGCACCCAACUGUGACUGAUUUAUUUGUUCACCAUACUUUAUGUCUCUGAUAAUGACUCUUGCUGGGGAUUCAUAGUUCACAGACUGUUGAACUGUUUUCACAGAUCAACCACCUCUUGAAGUUUAUUAAACUUUCCUGUAUUGUUUCUUACAUACCACUUCUUUCAGGUACUCUCUUUCUACCCACCAAAGGUGGAGCACUUCCCAGCCGGAGCUACCUUCCUGCCACUGUGUGAUCCACAUUCUGAUUCUGGGACAGGAGGAGAUCAGAAGAGGUUGGAGGCUGAAAAAUGUAAGGAGUCAUAGACAAAUAAGACAUAUUUAUUCACUGUGGGGAAAAACCACCAGGCUGAUAACUUCCAGCAGGGACGCAGGCCCAGGAUGAUCUACACAGUACACACACAGGAACAUGUGGGCCUAGACAGUCCAGUACACAAACCACAGGAAUGUAGGGAUAGAGAUCUACAGGCAAUCUGGGGAAGGCAGUCUCAGGGUCCAGCCUCCCACCUACAAGAACAAAAAGAAACCUAGGUUAGGACAUGCCACUUUUUUUAACAGAAUUCUAAAACUUUCACCUCUAAAGUGAGAGCAACUUCAUUGGAUCCAGUCAACCCAAAGAAAGAUUUCACAGCGAACCAAUCAACUCUCAGAUUAUUAUGUCUGAUUAAAGGGGCUUAAGUGAGAGCUAUGGAGGCAUGAAAAGGAGUUUUCUCAAUAGAGGCCACACAGGUUCCAGGAAGAGGCAGACCAGAGCUGUGACUACGGCUAGGAGGAACUUUUCAUGAAUCACAUCUCACGGAAAUGACAGUCACCUGACGUAUUUUUGGAGGUUUUAGAAUUUACCACAGAGAUAAAAAGGUAAGCAGAGAACGCAAUUAAGAAAUUGGUGUCGGGGCUGGGGAGAUGGCUCAGUGGUUAAGAGCACUGACUGUUCUUUCAGAGGUCAUGAGUUCAAUUCCUAGCAACCACAUGGUGGCUUCUUCUCCUAUGCCCUCUUCUGGUGUGUCUUUAGACAGCUACAGUGUACUUAUUAAAAUAAAUACAUAAAUCU
rnacentral:lncRNA from 1 species